rnacentral:lncRNA from 1 species
UAUGAAGUGCUCAUCAUACCAGACACUGGCACUGGUGACUACUGAGACUAAGGGCCAUCUUGAGUGCAGAGAUCCUUUUCCAGGGAGUGUGAAGAAAUCAGUCCUACCUUGCCGAAGAAACUGAGGCUCUGGGGAGUCCCAAGACUUGCUGAAGUGAUGCAGUCCAAACCAAAUGCCACGUCUGCUGCACAUCCGACCAGCAUGUGAGUAACUGA